rnacentral:rRNA from 1 species
GACGAACGCUGGCGGCGUGCUUAACACAUGCAAGUCGAACGGAAAGGCCCUGCUUUUGUGGGGUGCUCGAGUGGCGAACGGGUGAGUAACACGUGAGUAACCUGCCCUUGACUUUGGGAUAACUUCAGGAAACUGGGGCUAAUACCGGAUAGGAGCUCCUGCUGCAUGGUGGGGGUUGGAAAGUUUCGGCGGUUGGGGAUGGACUCGCGGCUUAUCAGCUUGUUGGUGGGGUAGUGGCUUACCAAGGCUUUGACGGGUAGCCGGCAUGGGAGGGUGACCGGCCACGUGGGGACUGAGAUACGGACCAGAAUCCUCAGGGGGGCAGAAGUGGGGAAUAUUGCACAAUGGGCGGAAGACUGAUGCAGCAACGCCGCGUGCGGGAUGACGGCCUUCGGGUUGUAAACCGCUUUCGCCUGUGACGAAGCGUGAGUGACGGUAAUGGGUAAAGAAGCACCGGCUAACUACGUG